rnacentral:rRNA from 1 species
AGCGAACGUUAGCGGCGCGCCUAACACAUGCAAGUCGCACGAGAAAGGGCUUCGGCCCCGGUAAAGUGGCGCACGGGUGAGUAACACGUGGGCAACCUGCCCAACCCUGGGGGAUAACCUGCCGAAAGGCGGGCUAAUACCGCGUACGAGGGCUCGACUUCGGUCGGGUUCUGAAAGCAGGCCUCUGUACACAAGCUUGCGGGGUUGGAUGGGCCCGCGGUCCAUCAGCUAGUUGGUGAGGUAAUGGCUCACCAAGGCUACGACGGAUAGCUGGUCUGAGAGGAUGAUCAGCCACACUGGAACUGAGACACGGUCCAGACUCCUACGGGAGGCAGCAGUGGGGAAUCUUGCGCAAUGGGCGGAAGCCUGACGCAGCGACGCCGCGUGGGUGACGAAGGCCUUCGGGUUGUAAAGCCCUGUGGGGCGAGACGAACAGCUUCCAGUCGAACAGGCUGGGGGUUUGACGGUAUCGCCUUAGCAAGCACCGGCUAACUCUGUG